rnacentral:rRNA from 1 species
GAUGAACGCUGGCGGCGUGCCUAAUACAUGCAAGUCGAGCGAAUGGAUUAAGAGCUUGCUCUUAUGAAGUUAGCGGCGGACGGGUGAGUAACACGUGGGUAACCUGCCCAUAAGACUGGGAUAACUCCGGGAAACCGGGGCUAAUACCGGAUAAUAUUUUGAACUGCAUGGUUCAAAAUUGAAAGGCGGCUUCGGCUGUCACUUAUGGAUGGACCCGCGUCGCAUUAGCUAGUUGGUGAGGUAACGGCUCACCAAGGCAACGAUGCGUAACCGACCUGGGAGGGUGAUCGGCCACACUGGGACUGAGACACGGCCCAGACUCCUACGGGAGGCAGCAGUAGGGAAUCUUCCGCAAUGGACGAAAGUCUGACGGAGCAACGCCGCGCGAGUGAUGAAGGCUUUCGGGUCGUAAAACUCUGUUGUUAGGGAAGAACAAGUGCUAGUUGAAUAAGCUGGCACCUUGACGGUACCUAACCAGAAAGCCACGGCUAACUACGUGCCAGCCGCCGCAGUAA